ensembl:lncRNA
CACCACAUUUCCACUGUUUUUCCACCAUGUUUCCACCAUGUUUCUACCACAAUUCUACUGUGUUUCUACCAUGUUUCUACCAUGUUUCCACUGUAUUUCUACCUUGUUUCUACCAUGUUUCCACCACGUUUCUACCAUGUUUCCACCACGUUUUCUACCAUGUUUCCAACAUAUUUCCAUCAUGUUUCCACUGUUUUUCCACCAUGUUUCCACCAUGUUUCUACCGUGUUUCUACCACAAUUCUACUGUGUUUCUACCAUGUUUCCACCAUGUUUCUACUGUGUUUCCACCAUGUUUCCACCACAUUUCCACUGUUUUUCCACCAUGUUUCCACCAUGUUUCUACCACAAUUCUACUGUGUUUCUACCAUGUUUCUACCAUGUUUCCACUGUAUUUCUACCUUGUUUCUACCAUGUUUCCACCACGUUUCUACCAUGUUUCCACCACGUUUCUACCAUGUUUCCAACAUAUUUCCAUCAUGUUUCCACCAUGUUUCCACCAUAUUUCUACCACAUUCUACUGUGUUUCCACCACGUUUCCACUGUAUUUCUACCUUGUUUCUACCAUGUUUCUAUCACAUUUCUACCAUGUUUCCACUGUGUUUCCAUCAUGUUUCCACCAUAUUUCUACCACAAUUCUACUGUGUUUCCACCACGUUUCCACUGUAUUUCUACCUUGUUUCUACCAUGUUUCUAUCACGUUUCUACCAUGUUUCCACCGUGUUUCCAUCAUGUUUCCAUCAUGUUUCUACCAUGUUUCUAUCCAUGUUUGGCCAUGUCUGGAAAUGAGAAUCACUUUUCAACUAACUCACCUGGUCAAAUGAAUAAAUGUUUCUGCUACAUAUCUACUACAUUUCUACUGUGUUUCUACUCUGUUCCUGUGGAAACACGUCCACGUUAGUGCAGACGAGCUCUGCGGACACGUCUCAACCUGAAUCCAUUACAGAACGGACGGAUGCUGCGGUUUCAUCUGUUUGCUUUUUUCUUUGUUUUGAAUUCUUCCUGUUCUCUGAUUGACAGAUCCUCCUCGUCCACAGUGGAUUCCCAUCAUGCUCUGCUCCCUGACAGACACCCCCCCCCCCACACAGCGACCGGAGGGGAAUUCAUUCUGUCAAAGUGUCAGCGCUGAGGAGACGGCGAUGACAGAGGAAAGAUGCUCAGUCAGAGGUUUGGAUGAAUCUGAUUGGUCGGCAGAUCUGGACCUAGAAUCGCUUUAAUGUAAAGUAUGAAACAGACUUCACACCAUCAGCUGGUUCUGGUCCGACUCAGGCUUAUGGCUCCAAUAUGAACCCAGUACUUUAGUGUAAUACCACAGACGGCCACUAGAGGCUGUUCCAGAAACACUCACACUGACCCUGAACUCACCACGAACCUCAACACAAAUGACCAAAGAACCGACAAAUGAACAAAGAACUGAUGAAUGAGCAAAGAAAAGAACAAAUGAACAAACCAACAAAAGAACCAACCGCCGACUAAUCAGCAAAGAACAGAACGAGCAAAAGAAGGAAUGAAGGAACAAAAAACAAUCCAAAUGUGACCAAAAUGGCGACCAAACAAUCCAACAAAACACAAACUAAUGCUUUCAUAACAUCCAUUCAGCGACCAACAGGAGGCGCUGUAGUUCCUCCGUCCACUGGUUUGGUUUAAUAUUUAUUUAUUUAUUUUUUUUAUUUAUUUAUUUAUUUGAUUCAGAGAAAGAGAAGCUUCACACAAUAACUUUUGUUUUAAAUCAUAGGAUCAGAUUUGGUCCAAUUUUUUUAAUAACAUUUUAAUCUCAGUGCAUCUUUUUUUAUUUAUUUUGUUGCAUAUUUUGUAUUAUUUUUGUCUUUUUUAUAUUGUACUUGUCUUGUGUAUUUUACAACCAUGUCAUUUCGUGUCAUUUUACUCCAGUUUACCAUUUUAUCUUAAACCUCCACCAUCUUUUUUUUUAAUCUUUUACAUGGUUUUCAUCUUGUAGAUUUUGUUUUUUUUUGUUGUUGUUGUUGUUUUACGCCAUUUUCUUUACAUUUGUCGUGGGUGAUUUUUACUGAUGGAUUCAUCAAUGUGUUGUCUUUUCUGGAGUUGGUUAUUUUCUUUUUUUUGCAUAAUUUUCAUCUUGUGUAAUCUGCUUUUUUUUGUUUUUUUUUUGUAUUACUUUCAUCAUGUGCAUAUUUUGCAUUGGAUACUUGUUAAUAAAAUGUAACAGAUGAUGCAUUCAUGGGCUUUAGAUUCUGCAGCUCGAGCCACAUAUCCACAGUUUUGUUUUGUUUUUCUUAAACGAUCCUAAAUUAAUUUCCAUCUCUUCCGUUUUUAUUCGUUACUGUAGAAAAACCCAAAGAACCUGCACACAUAUGAUAAAUAUGUGAAUGAUGAUGUUUCGCUGCAUUAACAACAUUAACAGUAACAAUGAUGCAACUGUGUGAAAAACUCAGUUGAAUUAAAUAUAUAAUGCGACCUACUUUAACCUUCAGACGGGUGAACCGGUGCGGUGUAAUCGCUGGAAUAAUGACCUCGGGGUUUGAAUCUAUGUCAUGACCUGGGUCUGAAUUGGUCCUGGUCACGUUUCCUGGAUCUGAGCUCAGAAAAGCCUCCACAGAUUCCAAACCUUCAUCACAACCAGAACGUGAAUCUGUUCACCAGCAGAAUGCCAUUACCCUCCAGCUUUAGGCCACGCCCACACAGACUCAAACCUCGCUCACCUCAGGCUCAGAGUCACCGCCAACACCGCUGAUGGAGGAUUCACAAUUAACAGACCAAACAACGGCAGUGAACGCCUCGUCGUCACAGUGUAAACACAGCACACUGAGCGGAGGAAUGUGGGCGGAGCCUGUGACCAGUUUAUUGACAGGUGAGGAAAUAAUUAACCUGGAGGUUCAGUGAGGGGUCAGUGUUUGUUCAUUCCAGGAAUUAGACACAGAUCAGUGUGUUUAGUCUGAAACACCCAGAGAAGACUCAGUUAUUUUCACUUACUGUUUUUACCUGAACAUCUGCUUUAAUAAAUAAACAGUGACGUUGUGUUUAAAGUCAUUUUUAUCUUUUACUUUAUUCUAAUCUUGUUGCAUCUUUUGCAUUGUUUUCGUUCAAAGUUAUGUUUUUUAACAUCUUUUGCUUCACAUUCUUUCAUUUUGUCUUGUUUCCACUUUUUUUGUAUAUAUUUUUAAAAACCUUUGUAUGUCAUUUUCAUCUUGUAUAUUUUGCAUGAUUUGAGUUUGUUGUGUAUUCAUGUCCUUUUCAUCUCGUGUUGUUUUCCACCAUUUUACAUCUUAAACUUUCACUUUUUAAUCUUUACAUUAUUUUCAUCCUGUAGAGUCUGUUUUUCUGUUUUAUGUUGUUUCCUUUAUUUCGUGCGAUUUUCUUUUGUUUCAUUUAUUUUCAUGAGUCUUAAUGACACA